rnacentral:misc_RNA from 1 species
UACGGAGGGUGCAAGCGUUGUUCGAAAUUAUUGGGCGUAAAGCGCGCGUAGGUGGUUUAGUUAGUCCUGUGUGAAAGACUCGGGCUCAACCCGGGAGGGUCAUGGGAUACUGCUAAACUAGAGUACGAGAGGGGAGAGUGGAAUUCCUAGUGUAGAGGUGGAAUUCGUAGAUAUUAGGAGGAACACCAGUGGCGAAAGCGACUCUCUGGCUCGAUACUGACACUAAGGCGCGAAGGCGUGGGGAGCAAACAGG